ensembl:lncRNA SNHG14 small nucleolar RNA host gene 14
GGAUCGAUGAUGACUUAAAGAUUUAUCUAAUUUAAAUCUGAACAAAAUGAGUGACCAAAACACUUCUGUACCACUUCUGUGAGCUGAGGUCCAGCACAGAGACCACUCCAGUCAAACAUGUGUUGCCUGGAGUUGCAACUAGUUGGUCAGUUAGAAGCAACCACAGGGACUGGGGUAUUUGAAAACCACUUGAGUGCAUUUAUUAGAGGAAACGAAUUUUACAUUUGUGUAUAAAAAUUCAAUUGUAGGGUAAAAUGGAAACUCUGAGAGUUUGGUUGGCGGCAUCUAUAUACCAUAGAAACAGAGCCUGGGAAGCAGAACAGUGAGACCCAAGAGAAAUGUUCCUGCCUAUACUUGGUCUGUUCUCACAUUUGCCUGAGCUACUGAUUGAUCUUUUGAGGGUGAUGAGAUGGUCAAAAUCCAAGGAUAUGAUGAGUUUUUACUUCUCAUUUUCUUUUUUUUUUUAUUAUACUUUAAGUUUUGGGGUACAUAUGCAGAACGUGCAGGUUUGUUACAUUGGUAUACACGUGCCAUGGUGGUUUGCUGCACCCAUCAACCCAUCAUCUACAUUAGAUUGGUUUUCACAGAAUUCCAUGGACUUUAACUGCUGAACCAAUGAUGCACUGAUUUUGUCACUUGUACCAGCUAACGCAUCUGGGAGGCAACAAAACAAUACUCUCCUGAGGUUAAUGUGGACCAAAAACUAGAUUUCAUAUAAAAGAGUUUAUUCCUUCUACUUGAGGUGUGACAUGAAGGAAAGUAAUGGAAAUAAUUCUGCCCUCCCAUUCUCAAGGGCCAGGGGGAAUUCAAAUAUUGAACGGAAGUGAUUUUGGAAUUGCAUGGAAUUCUCACUGCCAUCCCAAAGAAAUGCUGAUCUUGUCACUCUUACCUGUUUCAUUCCCUGGGGGCAGAACAAAAGGACGCACUCCAAAGAUCGGCAUGAACCAAGAACUGGGUUUCAUAUAAAAUAUUUUAUUCUGUCCUCUUGAGAUGUGACAUGAGAAAAGUAUUGAGAAUACUUCUAUCACCUCAUCUUCAAGAAUCCGUAGGAAUUCUCCCAUGGUGGACUUUACGGUUAACCUGAACAGGUCUUGGAAAAAGGACUUUAAACAUUCUCCUGUUCUGUGGAAUAAGUAUACUUUUUUCUGGACAUACACCUUGUCAGUUCCAUGUGAUACUAGAGUUGCAUAGAUUUUUAACCUUUACGCCAAUGAAGAUCUGAGGCAAACAUUGCCCCUUUUUUAGAAGUUUGCAUUUGUCACUGAUAACUGUAAUAAUUGAUCUUGUUGAAAAGCCUGGGAAAUGAAGAUCUGAUAUGUCACUUUUACCGGCUUCCUCAACUGAAAAAGAAUACAAUGAAACACGCUGAGAAUUUUUGUGCUUUCUCAGUCUUGCUGAUGAUCUUUCUAUGGGCCUGAAGCGUGGAGAGUGCCAGAGAGGCUGAUCCUCAGCAGUGUGGCAGAGGAAAGUUGGGUGCGACUAAGGGGUAUGCGGUGCCCACAUGCCACUGGGUCCUCAGCAGUACCACCUGAUUGGAAGUGAUAUUGGUGGAAGACAACAUUUUGCCGCUUGGAAUUCUCACCUCCACACCAAAGAAGUACUGUUUUUGUCAUUUGCACCAGCUUCUUUCUCCAGGAAAGAUCAAAACGAUGCACUGCAAGUGUGAUUGGUCCAGAUAGCUGCCUUAUCCAACUGCCUCCUUUGGACCACUUCAUCAUGGGACAGCUUGAUGCAAUCUACUUGACAAGACCCUGGAACCCCACACCCCUCAUGGAACCAGUGUCCACCUCCCAGUCACAGUGUGACCCCAGGGAACUCUUGCCUGCUUGCUUUAAACCCACCACUUAAAAGUCUCCACAGAAAACCUGUUUGAAUAGUACCCUUGACCCAAUAAGGGCAUUGGCCCCUGGGUGUCUCUCUCUCUCUCUCUCUCUCUCUCUCCCUCUCUCUCCCUCUCUCUCUCUCGCUCCCUGACCUCUGCGUGUGGACUCCAGGCAUGCCAUAUACCCCUCAGGACCUGAAGCAAAAGAAUGAAUUAAAGAAAACUCCAGAGAAUGAGCUGACAACCUACUCCCUGGUCAGUGGCUCUCCAUGCCUACCUGUGGUCUCUUGGACACCCUUGCAGAUGACUUCCUGGGAACUCUUCUGGGAGUGAAUGUUAUCAGCAAAUUCCCAAAACAACACCCCUUAGACAAAAAGCCUCCUCACCUAUGCAUUGCCUAGACCACCCACUAAAGGUGAUGGCCACAAAGAGGUGGAUUUGUUGAGUUGGUGCCAUUCCUUCUACUGCCAGCUUCACCAAAACAAUGACACAGUCUUCCUUCCGCAUGGAGACUCUUCUCUUUCCUGUGUUGCAGUGGAUGCCUCCUGCAGAUAAGAAAUGCUUAACUGAGAAAUGCUCAUGUUGGGAUAUCAUCGAUGAGACUUUAAUUUGGGCAUGGUGACUGUUUCCCUUGCUGCCACUUGACUCAAUCCCAGGAGCCUCAGUAGAGGAUAUAAUAUUACACAAGAUGCUCAAAAUGGUGGAAUUGCUCAGUGCUCCCAUAAAUAUACAUUUAUAAUUUUCAUUUGCCACAUGGUAAACUGAAAAAUACAGACUAUAUUAAAAAGAAACUGCAUGAUUUUUUUUCAAAAAUUCAAAGCAUAUUUAAAUAAUAUAUAAAUUAAAUGCCCUCCUCUCUUCCAAUUCUGUCCCUAUAGUUUUCCUCUAUUAAGUGAACUACAUGCAUUCUUUUAGUGGAUAGAUGCACACAAACACACAAGCCAUUAUGGGGAAGGAUCCACGUGUGUGGCCAUAUUGUAACACAUUUUUCUGCAAAUCACCUCUUUCAUUUAACAGCCCUUAUUCAAUGGCCUUUUUCUUUUUCAGUAGUACAUACACAUCUGUGUCAUUUGUUGAAUGACGACAUGAAUGUUUUGUAGAUAAAAUAUAAUUAAAUGUUUUAAGCAUUUCUCACUCAUAGAUAUUUAUGUUAGCACCAAAUUUCUGUGCAAUGAACCUCCCUAUAUAUCAGUAAUUUUGCAUUUGUCUAUAAUAUCAUAAUAAAU